GAUGAACGCUGGCGGCGUGCUUAACACAUGCAAGUCGAACGGAAAGGCCCAAGCUUGCUUGGGUACUCGAGUGGCGAACGGGUGAGUAACACGUGGGUGAUCUGCCCUGCACUUCGGGAUAAGCCUGGGAAACUGGGUCUAAUACCGGAUAGGACCACUUCUUGGAUGUUGUGGUGGAAAGUUUUUUCGGUGUGGGAUGAGCUCGCGGCCGAUCAGCUUGUUGGUGGGGUAAUGGCCUAGCAAGGCGUCGACGGGUAGCCGGCCUGCGAGGGUGUACGGCCACAUUGGGACUGAGCUACAGCCCGGACUCCUACGGGGGGCAGCAGUGGGGAAUAUUGCACAAUGGGCGCACGCCUGAUGCAGCGACGCCGCGUGGGGGAUGACGGCCUUCGGGUUGUAAACUCCUUUCGCUAGGGACGAAGCGUUUUUGUGACGGUACCUGGAGAAGAAGCACCGGCUAACUACGUG
rnacentral:rRNA from 1 species